UGGGGAAUCUUCCGCAAUGGACGAAAGUCUGACGGAGCAACGCCGCGUGAGUGAAGACGGCCUUCGGGUUGUAAAGCUCUGUGAUCCGGGACGAAAGAGCCUGAGGUAAAUAGCCUAAGGAAGUGACGGUACCGGAAAAGCAAGCCACGGCUAACUACGUGCCAGCAGCCGCGGUAAUACGUAGGUGGCAAGCGUCGUCCGGAAUUAUUGGGCGUAAAGCGCGCGCAGGCGGCUUCCUAAGUCCAUCUUAAAAGUGCGGGGCUUAACCCCGUGAUGGGAUGGAGACUGGGAAGCUGGAGUAUCGGAGAGGAAAGUGGAAUUCCUAGUGUAGCGGUGAAAUGCGUAGAGAUUAGGAAGAACACCGGUGGCGAAGGCGACUUUCUGGACGAAAACUGACGCUGAGGCGCGAAAGCGUGGGGAGCAAACAGG
rnacentral:rRNA from 1 species